UACGUAGGGGGCUAGCGUUAUCCGGAUUUAUUGGGUUUAAAGGGUGCGUAGGCGGACUGUCAAGUCAGCGGUAAAAUUGAGAGGCUCAACCUCUUCCCGCCGUUGAAACUGGUGGUCUUGAGUGGAUGAGAAGUACGCGGAAUGCGUGGUGUAGCAGUGAAAUGCAUAGAUAUCACGCAGAACUCCGAUUGCGAAGGCAGCGUACCGGCAUCCAACUGACGCUGAGGCACGAAAGCGUGGGGAUCAAACAGG
rnacentral:rRNA from 1 species